rnacentral:lncRNA from 1 species
CAGUUGAUCUCUUGACAAGGAUUUGGAAUUUUGGCUGAAAAGCAGUUAGUUUUGAUCCUACAGGUGGUGACUGGUAAAUGAUCAUACUGGUAAACUGGUUAUUUUAAGAUGGAAUUUUGUCAAAAUUCACAACAUUCACUUCUGGGUUGCAGACCGCGCUAGUUCCGUACCACUGCCAUGCUACCCUAUGGACAUGGCGGAGGUGCACAACUCCACUAUUCAGUUUACAAAGCCAUCAUGAUGAGCUGCCCCUUUGCAAAAUUUGCAU